rnacentral:rRNA from 1 species
AUACGGAGGGAGCAAGCGUUAUUCGGAAUCACUGGGCGUAAAGAGUAUGUAGGCGGUUUGGUAAGUCAGGUGUGAAAUCCCGAAGCUCAACUUCGGAACUGCAUCCGAUACUGCUAGACUUGAGUAAUGGAGAGGCAGGUGGAAUUCUCGGUGUAGCAGUGAAAUGCGUGGAUAUCGAGAGGAAGACCAAUGGCGAAGGCAGCCUGCUGGACAUUUACUGACGCUGAGAUACGAAGGCUAGGGUAGCGAAAGGGAUUAGAAACCCCAGUAGUCC